UAGAGUUUGUCUCCUUGUGGUAGCUGUCACAUCAACUUGGCAGCAAAUGGCAGACAUGGAAUUUUGGGAGUCUGGGUGGCCCACCUGUGAAUCCUCUUCACUUCAACUCCCCACCUCCAGCAUGAGAAGUCACACUGAAGAUAAGUGCUCAGUCAAUAAAACCCUGGAUACACUCAUUAAUGAAAGACCGCGUCAUGAGAGAAGCAUUUAAGGGCAUGAGUAGGUAGACAUGCAUAAAAUCAAAUGUGCCACCUCCCCCACGCCAUAGUGCAACACUCCCUAAAUGCUUUUUAACACACAUGGUAGCAAGAAACUUUGGUGAGACCUAACUUUUUUUUGGAUGAAUAAAAACACAGUGCUUCUGCUCCUCGUGAGCUUUGGUUUGAUGAAGAAGGCAGCAAUUUAACAAGCAUGGUGGAUGUUAACACUACUGGGUAAUGCUGAGAACUCUGUCAGGAGUCACAUGUGAACCCCCAAAAUCUGAGACAGGUCUCAAUUAAUUUAGAAGGUUUAUUUUGCUAAGGUUGAGGACACGCGCCCAUUACACAACCUCAGGAGGUCCUGAUGACAUGUGCCCAAGGUGGCCACAGCAUAGUUUGGUUUUAUACAUUUUAGGGAGAAAUGAGACCUCAAUCGACAUGUGUAAGAUGAACAUUGGUUUGAUCUGGAAAGGCUGGACAACUCGAACCGGGGAGGGGGCCUCCAGGUCAUAGGUAGAC
rnacentral:lncRNA from 10 species